rnacentral:rRNA from 1 species
CCUACGGGAGGCAGCAGUGGGGAAUAUUGCACAAUGGGGGAAACCCUGAUGCAGCGACGCCGCGUGAGUGAAGAAGUAAUUCGUUAUGUAAAGCUCUAUCAGCAGGGAAGAAAAUGACGGUACCUGAGUAAGAAGCCCCGGCUAACUACGUGCCAGCAGUCGCGGUAAUACGUAGGGGGCAAGCAUUAUCCGGAUUUACUGGGUGUAAAGGGUGCGUAGACGGCAGGGAAAGUCUGGAGGGAAAGGCGGGGGAUCAACCCUGGGCAUGAUCUGGACAAGGUACGGCUGGAGUGAAGGAGAGGUAAGAGGAAGUCAGAGUGUAGAGGUGAAAUGCGGAGAUAUUAGGAGGAGCACGAGGGGAGAAGGAGGAUAAAUGGACGGUAAAGGACGUCGAGGGGGGAAAGCGUGGUGAGAAAAACGGAUGAGAGAAAAUUGGAGGG